rnacentral:rRNA from 1 species
UACGUAGGGGGCAAGCGUUGUCCGGAUUUAUUGGGCGUAAAGAGCGUGUAGGCGGCCUGACAGGUCUGCUGUGAAAACUCGAGGCUCAACCUCGAGAUGUCGGCGGAAACCGUCUGGCUAGAGUCCGGAAGAGGAGAGUGGAAUUCCUGGUGUAGCGGUGAAAUGCGCAGAUAUCAGGAAGAACACCUAUGGCGAAGGUAGCUCUCUGGGACGGUACUGACGCUGAGACGCGAAAGCGUGGGGAGCGAACAGG